rnacentral:pre_miRNA from 1 species
AGUGAAAAUUGAUGGGUCAUAUGGCAAUAACACUGUGUUUGACUUUUUGAGAAACUGCCAAGCUAUUUUUUAUAGUGGAUGUCCUGUUUUAUGUUCCUACUAAUAAU